AGGAUAAACGCUGGCGGCGUGCCUAACACAUGCAAGUCGAACGCGCUUUCGGGCUUCGGUGCGAGAGCGAGUGGCGGACGGGUGAGUAACACAUGGGUACCUACCUUGGAGUGAGGGAUACCGGCGAGAAAUCGCCGACAAUACCGCAUAGGCUUCUUCACAAGGGAAGCAAAGUGACGCGAGUCACGCUUUGAGAUGGGCCUGUGGCCGAUUAGCUAGUUGGGGGGGUAACGGCUUCCCAAGGCGACGAUCGGUAGCUGGUCUGAGAGGACGAUCAGCCACACUGGGAUUGAGAACGGCCCAGACUCCUACGGGGGGCAGCAGUGAGGAAUUUUCCGCAAUGGAGGCAACUCUGACGGAGCAACGCCGCGUGCAGGAGGAAGGUUUUCGGAUCGUAAACUGCUUUUCUCGGGGACGAGCAAGGACGGUACCCGAGGAAUCAGCCCCGGCUAACUACGUGCCAGCAGCCGC
rnacentral:rRNA from 1 species